UACAGAGGGUGCGAGUGUUGUCCGGAAUCACUGGGCGUAAAGGGCGCGUAGGUGGCCCGACAAGUCUGUGGUGAAAGCUCGAUGCUCAACAUCGAGUCGGCCAUAGAUACUGUUGGGCUGGAGCACUGUAGAGGCAGAUGGAAUUCCGGGUGUAGCGGUGGAAUGCGUAGAGAUCCGGAAGAACACCGGUGGCGAAGGCGGUCUGCUGGGCAGUAGCUGACACUGAGGCGCGACAGCGUGGGGAGCAAACAGG
rnacentral:rRNA from 1 species